GGCGCGGUAGCUCAGUUGGUAGAGCAGCGGACUGAAAAUCCGCGUGUCGCCAGUUCAAUUCUGGCCUGCGCCACCA
rnacentral:tRNA from 1 species